AUUGAACGCUGGCGGCAUGCCUUACACAUGCAAGUCGAACGGUAACAGGUCUUCGGAUGCUGACGAGUGGCGAACGGGUGAGUAAUACAUUGGAACGUGCCUAGUAGUGGGGGAUAACUACUCGAAAGAGUGGUUAAUACCGCAUGAGAUCUACGGAUGAAAGCAGGGGAUCGCAAGACCUUGUGCUACUAGAGCGGCCGAUGGCAGAUUAGGUAGUUGGUGGGAUAAAAGCUUACCAAGCCGACGAUCUGUAGCUGGUCUGAGAGGACGAUCAGCCACACUGGGACUGAGAAACGGCCCAGACUCCUACGGGAGGCAGCAGUGGGGAAUUUUGGACAAUGGGCGAAAGCCUGAUCCAGCAAUGCCGCGUGCAGGAUGAAGGCCUUCGGGUUGUAAACUGCUUUUGUACGGAACGAAAAGCCCCGGGUUAAUACCCUGGGGUCAUGACGGUACCGUAAGAAUAAGCACCGGCUAACUACGUGCCAGCAGCCGCGGUAA
rnacentral:rRNA from 1 species